rnacentral:ncRNA from 1 species
CAGAGUAGAAGAUAAGGCGUUAAGUGCCGUACGGACGGGGAGUUGCCGCGCGGACGAAAAGUUGUCUUGCGGUCUUAUUUUCGCAUCCCGCUGU